UGGAUGGGCCUUAAGCCAUCAUUUAAUGCAGAAUCUAGAAGCCGAUCCUGAUUCUAGAGUUCUUUUGUCUAGUGAGAGCAUUCAAUACGGGAUAAGCAUCUUACAGGCUAUCCAGAAUGAAUCUAAGUGCUUGAAGAAGUCACUUAAGGAUGUUGUCACGGAGAAUGAAUUUGAGAAAAGGCUUUUAGCAGACGUUAUCCCACCCAGUGAUA
rnacentral:misc_RNA from 1 species